rnacentral:lncRNA from 1 species
CGACGAAUCCGAUUUCUCGACUGGCGGAGGGAAGAGACCGUCCAAUCAGACCCGGUCCCUGACAAUGUCGAACGACCUCAGUUUCUCCAUUAAGUUUCCUCCGAAUUAAGCUUACUCCGAUAUGGUUCUUGUUUAUUGACUAGCUGGAUUACUCAAAAACUUACAACAACCUAUUUUUCAAACCCUUGAGAGUAGUUACUCUGUAAGUUACCAC